CCGGUGUAGGACAGAGACAGCUUUAU
rnacentral:piRNA from 1 species